rnacentral:rRNA from 1 species
UACGUAGGGAGCAAGCGUUGUCCGGAAUCAUUGGGCGUAAAGCGCGCGUAGGUGGCCUCAUAAGUCCGCUGUGAAAGUCAAAGGCUCAACCUUUGAAAGCCGGUGGAUACUGUGAGGCUAGAGUACGGAAGAGGCGAGUGGAAUUCCUGGUGUAGCGGUGGAAUGCGCAGAUAUCAGGAGGAACACCAAUGGCGAAGGCAGCUCGCUGGGACGGUACUGACGCUGAGGCGCGAAAGCGUGGGGAGCAAACAGG